GUUGGAGUAGCUCAGUGGUAGAGUACUUGCCUAAUGUGUAGAAGGCUCUAGGUUCAACCCCCAGCCCAAUA
rnacentral:tRNA from 1 species